AUUGAACGCUGGCGGCAUGCCUUACACAUGCAAGUCGAACGGCAGCACGGGUGCUUGCACCUGGUGGCGAGUGGCGAACGGGUGAGUAAUACAUCGGAACAUGUCCUGUAGUGGGGGGUAGCCCGGCGAAAGCCGGAUUAAUACCGCAUACGAUCUACGGAUGAAAGCGGGGGACCUUCGGGCCUCGCGCUAUAGGGUUGGCCGAUGGCUGAUUAGCUAGUUGGUGGGGUAAAGGCCUACCAAGGCGACGAUCAGUAGCUGGUCUGAGAGGACGACCAGCCACACUGGGACUGAGACACGGCCCAGACUCCUACGGGAGGCAGCAGUGGGGAAUUUUGGACAAAGGGCGAAAGCCUGAUCCAGCAAUGCCGCGUGUGUGAAGAAGGCCUUCGGGUUGUAAAGCACUUUUGUCCGGAAAGAAAUCCUUGGCCCUAAUACGGUCGGGGGAUGACGGUACCGGAAGAAUAAGCACCGGCUAACUACGUG
rnacentral:rRNA from 1 species